rnacentral:rRNA from 1 species
AAAAGUUAAGAUCUUAAAAGUUAAAUAUUUUGGCGGUAUUUUAGUCUUUUCAGAGGAACCUGUUUCGUAAUUGAUAUUCCACAAUUUAAAUUACUUUUAUUAGAAAUUUAUAUAUCGUCGUUAAAAUUAUUUUUAUUGAAAUUAAUAAUUAAAAUAUUUUUAAAAUAAAAAUUCAGAUCAAGGUAUAGUUUAUAUAAAAGUGUUAAUGGGUUACUAUUAAAAAUACAGAUUUACAGUUUUAAAUUGUGAUGAAGUUGGAUUUGUAAGUAAUUAUUAAUAA